GUCUCCGGCCAUAUCAGCCUGAAGGCGCCCGAUCUCGUCUGAUCUCGGAAGCUAAGCAGGGUUGGGCCUGGUUAGUACUUGGAUGGGAGACCACCUGGGAAUACCGGGUGCUGUAGGCU
ensembl:rRNA 5S_rRNA 5S ribosomal RNA